rnacentral:rRNA from 1 species
UGGGGAAUAUUGGACAAUGGGCGCAAGCCUGAUCCAGCCAUGCCGCGUGAGUGAUGAAGGCCUUAGGGUUGUAAAGCUCUUUUAUCCGGGACGAUAAUGACGGUACCGGAGGAAUAAGCCCCGGCUAACUUCGUGCCAGCAGCCGCGGUAAUACGAAGGGGGCUAGCGUUGCUCGGAAUCACUGGGCGUAAAGGGCGCGUAGGCGGCGUUUUAAGUCGGGGGUGAAAGCCUGUGGCUCAACCACAGAAUGGCCUUCGAUACUGGGACGCUUGAGUAUGGUAGAGGUUGGUGGAACUGCGAGUGUAGAGGUGAAAUUCGUAGAUAUUCGCAAGAACACCGGUGGCGAAGGCGGCCAACUGGACCAUUACUGACGCUGAGGCGCGAAAGCGUGGGGAGCAAACAGGAUUAGAUACCCUGGUAGUCCACGCCGUAAACGAUGAACGCCAGCUGUUGGGGUGCUCGCACCGCAGUAGCGCAGCUAACGCUUUGAGCAUUCCGCCG